CGGAGGGUGCAAGCGUUAUCCGGAUUUAUUGGGUUUAAAGGGUCCGUAGGCGGAUCCGUAAGUCAGUGGUGAAAUCUCACAGCUUAACUGUGAAACUGCCAUUGAUACUGCGGGUCUUGAGUAAGGUAGAAGUGGCUGGAAUAAGUAGUGUAGCGGUGAAAUGCAUAGAUAUUACUUAGAACACCAAUUGCGAAGGCAGGUCACUAUGUCUUAACUGACGCUGAUGGACGAAAGCGUGGGGAGCGAACAGGAUUAGAUACCCUGGUAGUCCACGCCGUAAACGAUGCUAACUCGUUUUUGGGCUUUCGGGUUCAGGGACUAAGCGAAAGUGAUAAGUUAGCCACCUGGGGAGUACGUUCGCAAGAAUG
rnacentral:rRNA from 1 species